rnacentral:lncRNA from 1 species
AAAGCACUUAAUGUAGUGGUAUUAUACCCUGUGUUGCUCAGAAGGCAAAACUCACAAUGUGCUAUUUUUUGCCAGGAUCACUUUAUCAAGGCCGUUAGAAUGCAGCAAAUGUAGGGACACCUUAAAUUAGGUGAGAUCCUAUUGUCCAAAUUGCCUUGUUAAAGCUAGUCCAUGCCAUGGACAAUGACAUCACACAAGUGAAAAAAAAAACAUCCUCUUAUGUGUUAGCAUUCACAGGAACUGAAUUAAAUCAUUAAAAGAUUGAAUCAUCUUGCUCAAGGUCAAGCAUUGACCUGGAGUGCAGCCUUUCCAAUACAGUCCUCUCUCUGACCACCACAGCAAUCUGCCUUACACCAGGUCAAUAAACACACGCAUUGAACAUGAUAUUGAUUUCUAAAGCUCACAGAAAAAACCUGCAUGUUAGACUUCAGCUUCAAGACCCAACAAGCUGUUCCUAUCCCACAGUGGCCAUCUAAAUUUCAUAAUGGCACACACUAGGCAUUAUGUAACGAUAAUACCUACACUGUACAGCCUUCUUCCAAUAAUAAAAAGGACAUAAUGAUCAAAUCAAUCGGCACAAGCCUUAUUGUUCUCUCAGAUAUUUAGGAUUUUCAGUUUGUGAAACAACAGAGUUAUGUGUAAUCCCCCUCUACUGUUCUCUCAGCAUGCAGGGUUUAUUGCUCUGCCUCAUGCUUCUAAUUCAUGCAAUGGUUGGAGGAAGCAUUCGCUGCUCUAAGAGACUCUGCCUUGUCUACCUCAGACCUGAGAAGGAACAGACUACUAGAAAUGAGAGAGAGAAGAGACAAAGCAUUUGCCAUCGGUGACUGUAACACGAUGGAAAGCGCAGCAGUGACGGCAGGGUAGCAAAGUUCAAAGCAAGUGAGGAGGUGCUCAAAUGCAGCAGCUGUGAACACAGAAACAAAGGAAAGAAUCUGCUUACCCUUGGAAGGCCUCAGAUAGGCUGGCGUCUCCUGCAAGAAUCUAGUUUUUGACCUCUUGCCUUCAUUCAAAUUGAAAGAGCAAUAAUUUAACCAUUUAAACCAGGAGUCCUUGAUAUACUUAUUGACCUACUUACAGGUAAGAAAACUUAGAUGUUCAAAACUGAGUCCAAGUCUUUUCAAAACAUUAAGUGUAAG